ACGUAGGGCGCAAGCGUUAUCCGGAUUUAUUGGGCGUAAAGAGCUCGUAGGCGGUUUGUCGCGUCUAUCGUGAAAGUCCGAGGCUCAACCUCGGAUCUGCGGUGGGUACGGGCAGACUAGAGUGAUGUAGGGGAGACUGGAAUUCCUGGUGUAGCGGUGAAAUGCGCAGAUAUCAGGAGGAACACCGAUGGCGAAGGCAGGUCUCUGGGCAUUUACUGACGCUGAGGAGCGAAAGCAUGGGGAGCGAACAGGAUUAGAUACCCUGGUAGUCCAUGCCGUAAACGUUGGGCACUAGGUGUGGGGGACAUUCCACGUUUUCCGCGCCGUAGCUAACGCAUUAAGUGCCCCGCCUGGGGAGUACGGCCGCAAGGCUA
rnacentral:rRNA from 1 species